rnacentral:rRNA from 1 species
UGAACGCUGGCGGCGUGCCUAAUACAUGCAAGUCGAGCGAACAGAUACGGAGCUUGCUCCUUUGCCGUUAGCGGCGGACGGGUGAGUAACACGUGGGUAACCUACCUAUAAGACUGGGAUAACUUCGGGAAACCGGAGCUAAUACCGGAUAACAUUUGGAACCGCAUGGUUCUAAAGUGAAAGAUGGUUUUGCUAUCACUUAUAGAUGGACCCGCGCCGUAUUAGCUAGUUGGUAAGGUAACGGCUUACCAAGGCAACGAUACGUAGCCGACCUGAGAGGGUGAUCGGCCACACUGGAACUGAGACACGGUCCAGACUCCUACGGGAGGCAGCAGUAGGGAAUCUUCCGCAAUGGGCGAAAGCCUGACGGAGCAACGCCGCGUGAGUGAUGAAGGGUUUCGGCUCGUAAAACUCUGUUAUUAGGGAAGAACAAACGUGUAAGUAACUGUGCACGUCUUGACGGUACCUAAUCAGAAAGCCACGGCUAACUACGUG